rnacentral:rRNA from 1 species
GGAUAACCUACCCUUAGGACCGGGAUAACCCUGGGAAACUGGGGAUAAUACUGGAUAGGCAAUUUUUCCUGUAAUGGUUUUUUGUUUAAAUGUUUUUUCGCCUAAGGAUGGGUCUGCGGCCGAUUAGGUAGUUGGUGGGGUAAUGGCCCACCAAGCCGAUGAUCGGUACGGGUUGUGAGAGCAAGGGCCCGGAGAUGGAACCUGAGACAAGGUUCCAGGCCCUACGGGGUGCAGCAGGCGCGAAACCUCCGCAAUGUACGAAAGUGCGACGGGGGGAUCCCAAGUGUUAUGCUUUUUUGUAUGACUUUUCAUUAGUGUAAAAAGCUUUUAGAAUAAGAGCUGGGCAAGACCGGUGCCAGCCGCCGCGGUAACACCGGCAGCUCGAGUGGUAGCUGUUUUUAUUGGGCCUAAAGCGUUCGUAGCCGGUUUGAUAAGUCUUUGGUGAAAGCUUGUAGCUUAACUAUAAGAAUUGCUGGAGAUACUAUUAGACUUGAAGUCGGGAGAGGUUAGAGGUACUACCGGGGUAGGGGUGAAAUCCUAUAAUCCUGGGAGGACCACCUGUGGCGAAGGCGUCUAACUGGAACGAUCUUGACGGUGAGUAACGAAAGCCAGGGGCGCGAACCGGAUUAGAUACCCGGGUAGUCCUGGCCGUAAACGAUGUGGACUUGGUGUUGGAAUGGCUUUGAGUUGUUCCGGUGCCGAAGGGAAGCUGUUAAGUCCACCGCCUGGGAAG